rnacentral:rRNA from 1 species
AGACUCCUGUGGGUCGGGGCACCCUGGAACGGUGGCUAAUACCGGAUGAGCCGAAAGGUAAAAAAUUUAUUGCCCACAGAUGAGCUCGCGCCUGAUUAGCUAGUUGGUAAGGUAAAAGCGUACCAAGGCGACGAUCAGUAGCUGGUCUGAGAGGAUGAGCAGCCACACUGGGACUGAGACACGGCCCAGACUCCUACGGGAGGCAGCAGUGGGGAAUUUUCCGCAAUGGGCGAAAGCCUGACGGAGCAAGACCGCGUGGGGGAGGAAGGUUUUUGGAUCGUAAACCCCUUUUGUCAAGGAAGAAGUUCUGACGGUACUUGACGAAUAAGCCUCGGCUAACUCCGUGCCAGCAGCCGCGGUAAUACGGAGGAGGUAAGCGUUAUCCGGAAUGAUUGGGCGUAAAGCGUCUGUAGGUGGCCAGCUAAGUCUGCUGUUAAAGAUCACAGCUCAACUGUGGGAAGGCAGUGGAAACUGGCAAGCUAGAGGCUGGUAGGGGUAAAGGGAAUUCCCGGUGUAGCGGCGAAAUGCGUAGAUAUCGGGAAGAACACCGGUGGCGAAAGCGCUUUACUGGGCCAGACCUGACACUGAAGGACGAAAGCUAGGGGAGCGAAAGGGAUUAGAUACCCCCAGUAGUC